rnacentral:lncRNA from 1 species
GGAGAUGGAGAAGGGAUGUUCGUAGAGCACACACGAGAGUUGCAAUAAACUACGCUGGGUUAGCUACUACUCCUGCACAAUUGAGAUACGAAGAGAUGUCUAAGGAAUUUGCGCAUGUGGCAGACCUUGCUACAGACGACAAAGUGCGGUCAUGUGCAAUAAUGGAAUGGAUAAAAUGUCAAUGUGAAGAUAUGAUGAACACAAAAUUUGGUGGUGGUAGUAAUCCCAUAUUGUAGCGUAUCACUCAGGUGUCCAAUGAUUGUGUGGAUGUAUCAAAAUCUACAAUUGAAAGAAUACUUGAUCCAAAAUUGGCUCAACGAAAGGGUGCACCCAGGAAACUUAGAAAAAAAAAGCUCAUUGGAGACGAUAUCGAAAAAAGUGAAGGUAUGCUCGAAUGUGCGAUUUAUAUUUGCAAUUGUUUAAAUUGAAAACUAAGCGAUUAACUGUGAAUGUAAUCUGGCGGGACAUCAACCACAAAUAUGCCACCAAGAAAUAGCAAUACGAAUACGGCUGACGACGCAAUGAACUUUCAGUCAGCUCAGCAAUAUUCCAUGUUGACCCCAACGUCGUACUUGCACAAUGACGUGUUGACACCAUUAUCCUUGUCACAACUAUCCAUGUAGACACCGUUCUUCCUUUCGAAAAAUUUACGAUUUGCAAAUUUGGUCCCUCCAGCAGUAGUUAAUGUUAUGCAAAAUUCGC